rnacentral:lncRNA from 1 species
AGAUAGGUUGAUUCUUAAUCUGAUCCAAGAUAACAGCCCUAUCGGUGUUAAGUGUUGUGUACGUCCUAUUUACUCUCUGGGCUGGAGCGGACGAACGUCCUCCACCCUGUCUCCAAUUGUUGUAUCUCUUCGACCCGCCUUCAUAGCGGUCUUUAUUCCCUUCAUUCUUCUUCUGGUCCCCAUCGGUUUUGUCCCGAUCUGUCUCCUUAAGCCGGUCUGAAGAAGGACGUUUGAGGCUGUUCAUGGCUUCCUCCACCACGAUAUAGCCUUCAGCUUUGUCGAAGGCUUCAGCGAGACUCUUCGGGUGGUUAAACAUUAAUUUCUUCACCAACUUUUCUGAUUUGACCAAAUCUAACCCAUUCUGAAAUAGUCCCACAGCUUGUAGAUCGUUCAGGUCUGUCACUUGG